rnacentral:rRNA from 1 species
AUUGAACGCUGGCGGCAUGCUUUACACAUGCAAGUCGAACGGUAACAGGCCGCAAGUUGCUGACUAGUGGCGAACGGGUGAGUAAUGCAUCGGAACGGGCCCAGUCGUGGUGGAUAACUGCUCGAAACAGGAACUAAUACCUCAUACCGGCUAUGGAUGAAAGCGGGGUGCCUUAAUACCUCGCGCGAGUGUUGCUGCCGGUGUCAGAUUAGGUAGUUGGUUGGGUAAAGGCUCACCAAGCCAACGAUCUGUAGCUGACCUGAGAGGACAACCCGCCACACUGGGACUGAGACACGGCCCAGACUCCUACGGGAGGCAGCAGUGGGGAAUCUUGCACAAUGGGCGAAAGCCUGACGCAGCAAUGCCGCGUGAAGGAAGAAGGCCUUCGGGUCGUAAACCGCUUUUAUAAGGAACGAACAGACUCUGGUUAAUCCCUGCGCGUCAUGACGGUACCGAAACAAAAAGCCCCGGCUAACUACGUG